CACAAUCUCACUCACAUGAUCAUCACCUUAAUUCAGAAUCAUCAACCUCUUCUUCUUUGUCUUCACAACCAAGUCUACCUUCUGUUCCUUCUCUCACCUCACAACCUUCUCAACAAUCUCACUCACAUGAUCAUCACCUUAAUUCAGAAUCAUCAACCUCUUCUUCUCUGUCUUCACAACCAAGUCUACCUUCUGUUCCUUCUCUCACCUCACAACCUUCUCAACAAUCUCAAACCACACAUCACCAACUUCUAACAACCAUCAAAGGCCACAAUUCUCCUAUCUUCUCCCUAACUCUUCACUCCAAAUUCCUCUAUAGUGCAUCUUCCAAUAGUGAAAUAAGAAGGUUUAACA
rnacentral:lncRNA from 1 species